rnacentral:rRNA from 1 species
AGAGUUUGAUCCUGGCUCAGGACGAACGCUGGCGGCGUGCCUAACACAUGCAAGUCAAGGCGGUAGCAAUACCGACUGGCGCACGGGUGCGGAACACGUAGGCAAUCUGCCCAUCAGGGGAGAACAACUCACCGAAAGGUGAGCUAAAUCUCCGUAAUGUCUUAUCAUGGCAUCAUGAUUUGACCAAGCUUUCUGAUGGAUGAGCCUGCGUCUGAUUAGCUAGUUGGUAGUGUAACGGACUACCAAGGCUACGAUCAGUAGCUGGUCUGAGAGGAUGAUCAGCCACAUUGGGACUGAGACACGGCCCAGACUCCUACGGGAGGCAGCAGUGAGGAAUAUUGCUCAAUGGACGAAAGUCUGAAGCAGCAACGCCGCGUGAGGGAUGAAGGUGCUCUGCAUUGUAAACCUCUGUAGUCGGGGACAAAAAACGGGUUAUUACCCGUCUGAUGGUACCCGAAAAGUAAGGAUCGGCUAACUACGUGCCAGCAGCCGCGGUAAUACGUAGGAUCCAAGCGUUGUCCGGAUUUACUGGGUGUAAAGGGUGCGCAGGCGGACUUGUUAGUCAGAGGUGAAAUCUCACUGCUCAACAGUGAAACUGCCUUUGAUACUGCAGGUCUUGAAUCCAGAAGAGAGUUGUGGAAUUCCGAGUGUAGCAGUGAAAUGUGUAGAUAUUCGGAAGAACACCAGCGGCGAAGGCAGCAACUUGGUCUGGUAUUGACGCUCAGGCACGAAAGCAUGGGGAUCAAACAGGAUUAGAUACCCUGGUAGUCC